rnacentral:rRNA from 1 species
ACAGGGUGACAGGUGGUGCAUGGUUGUCGUCAGCUCGUGUCGUGAGAUGUUGGGUUAAGUCCCGCAAUGAGCGCAACCCUCGACCUUAGUUGCCAGCAUUCAGUUGGGCACUCUAAGGUGACUGCCGGCUAAAAGUCGGAGGAAGGUGGGGGAUGACGUCAAAUCAUCAUGCCCCUUAUGACCUGGGCUACACACGUGCUACAAUGGGCGGUACAAAGGGUCGCGAACCCGCGAGGGGGAGCCAAUCCCAAAAAGCCGCUCUCAGUUCGGAUUGCAGGCUGCAACUCGCCUGCAUGAAGCCGGAAUCGCUAGUAAUCGCGGAUCAGCAUGCCGCGGUGAAUACGUUCCCGGGCCUU